UCCAAGGCCAUUAUGAACUUUACCCUGGUUUAAGGUGGAAUCACUCCAACAGCAUUAUGAACUUUACCCUGGUUUAAGGUGGAAUCACUCCAAGGCCCUUAUGAACUUUACCCUGAUUUAAGGUGGAAUCACUCCAACAGCAGUAUGAACUUUACCCUGGUUUAAGGUGGAACCACUCCAACAGCAGUAUGAACUUUACCCUGGUUUAAGGUGGAAUCACUCCAAGGCCAUUAUGAACUUUACCCUGGUUUAAGGUGGAAUCACUCCAACAGCAUUAUGAACUUUACCCUGGUUUAAGGUGGAAUCACUCCAAGGCCAUUAUGAACUUUACCCUGGUUUAAGGUGGAAUCACUCCAACAGCAUUAUGAACUUUACCCUGGUUUAAGGUGGAAUCACUCCAAGGCCCUUAUGAACUUUACCCUGGUUUAAGGUGGAAUCACUCCAACAGCAUUAUGAACUUUACCCUGGUUUAAGGUGGAACCACUCCAACAGCAGUAUGAACUUUACCCUGGUUUAAGGUGGAAUCACUCCAAGGCCAUUAUGAACUUUACCCUGGUUUAAGGUGGAAUCACUCCAACAGCAUUAUGAACUUUACCCUGGUUUAAGGUGGAAUCACUCCAACAGCAUUAUGAACUUUACCCUGGUUUAAGGUGGAAUCACUCCAACAGCAUUAUGAACUUUACCCUGGUUUAAGGUGGAAUCACUCUAAGGCCCUUAUGAACUUUACCCUGGUUUCAUGUGAAUCACUCCAACUAUACCACAAUGCAACAUGUUUUAGUGAGACAGCCAAUGCUAAUUCUCUUGGGCUGAGUUCCAAAUAGCUCCCUAUUCCCUAAAGAAUAUAUUUUGAUUUAACACUUGUUUGGUUCCAUAUGUGUUAUUUCAUAGUUUUGAUGUCUUCACUAUUAUUCUACAAUGUAGAAAAUAGUCCAAAUAAAGAAAACCCCUUGAAUGAGUAGGUGUGUCCAAACUUUUGACUGGUACUGUUGAUCUCUAACAAAGGGGUCGUGGAAAAGGUCUGUUGAAAUGAAUACUGUAGUGGUGUGUGAAAGGUAACACAAGCUUCCUCUCUGGUUCCAUUCCCCCAAUAGUAACUGGGUCAUUAUUGGAUGGUGAAUGUCAUGCUGUCCCUGGACUGUAGCACCACAUAAAAAAAUGACAAAUACAUUUAUUUAACUGUUAUUUAAUAAGAAACCUAUGUAAAUCCUUUAUACUGAUAAACAUAUAUUUGUACAGAUUGUAGACAAUACUGGUGCCUAGAUAAAUGGGCCUCUUCCAAUGGUGAUGUGUAGAGAUCUAGUGACAUGUUUUGACUAGAUAAAUAAACAUUAUUUUGAAUACCAUGAA
ensembl:lncRNA